rnacentral:rRNA from 1 species
UAGCUGGUUUCUCAAGAAAAGGAUUUUAGUCCCANNUAAAGUGACCCUAGACCUAACUAAUCACUCUCUCCCCUUUAGAGCAAUUCAAAUGAGGUACAGCCCCUUUGAUACAGGAUACAACCUUCACUAACGGGUAAUAUUCAACUUCCAUCUUUAAGUGGGCCUAAUAGCAGCCAUCUUUUAAAAAGCGUCAAAGCUUAACCCUGUUGUUCCAAUCUAAAAAUUUAUAUUAACCCCUUUAACCGUAUUGAGAAAUUCUAUAACACUAUAGAACCUUUAAUGCUAAAACUAAUAACAAGAGAAAACACCUCUCCUAUAAUGCAAGUGUAAGCCACCAAGAACCCACCACUGACAACUAACAGACCACAUGGUAGCAACCCGCACUAGAAAACUCCACCCAUCCUCCCUGUUAACCUAACACCAGAGCAUUUCAAGAAAGAUUAAAAGAAAGAAAAGGAACUCGGCAAAUUCUAGCCCCGCCUGUUUACCAAAAACAUCGCCUCUUGACCCCAUAAGAGGUCCAGCCUGCCCAGUGACUCUGUUCAACGGCCGCGGUAUUCUAACCGUGCAAAGGUAGCGUAAUCACUUGUUUUCCAAAUAAAGACUAGUAUGAAAGGCACCACGAGAGCUAAACUGUCUCCUCCUUCUAAUCAGUGAACCUAAUCUCCCCGUGAAGAAGCGGGGAUCCAAAUAUAAGACGAG